UGGAUAUAAGCUAGAGAUGGUAGUUCUGUCUAUUGACAAUGAAAUUGAUUAAGGACCGUCCGUUAUUUUAAUUGCUAUCAAGUGAUAUUAUCUGGUUGCUUACUGCCAUCGGGAACCAGCAAACCUGGUAGGUUAGUUGGCUCUUAGGGUGAAGAUAUAUUGACCUUACUUGGCGUGAGUGUAUGGCGGGGACAUAGCCUAAAACUGAAACUCAUAUGGUGAUCAGGCCAGACGUGGGGUCUCAUGUGGGGUGCGUUCCCGGGUCCGGGUGAUUAUAUUUCCAGUCUUUGGGUACGAUUAAUCGAAAGGUCGUUGCGUACAGCCCGAUCAGCUGUGCGUGGCUAGUGAUUAGGUAUUUCUUGCAGGAUGUAAAUCGGUCCAGAUCGCCGCAAUUCUCGGUUAUGAAUGCGCUUGAUCACUGUUAAGCAUCGUAGAUGAACAAGUUGAAUAUAAUGUUUUCCUUGAAUUAAGAUUGCUGUAUGAUAUUAGUACCACUUGAUUGAGCAAAUAUUUU
rnacentral:lncRNA from 1 species